UACGGGAGGCAGCAGUGGGGAAUAUUGCACAAUGGGCGCAAGCCUGAUGCAGCCAUGCCGCGUGUAUGAAGAAGGCCUUCGGGUUGUAAAGUACUUUCAGCGGGGAGGAAGGCGAUGCGGUUAAUAACCGCGUCGAUUGACGUUACCCGCAGAAGAAGCACCGGCUAACUCCGUGCCAGCAGCCGCGGUAAUACGGAGGGUGCAAGCGUUAAUCGGAAUUACUGGGCGUAAAGCGCACGCAGGCGGUCUGUUAAGUCAGAUGUGAAAUCCCCGGGCUUAACCUGGGAACUGCAUUUUGAAACUGGCAGGCUUGAGUCUUGUAGAGGGGGUAGAAUUCCAGGUGUAGCGGUGAAAUGCGUAGAGAUCUGGAGGAAUACCGGUGGCGAAGGCGGCCCCUGGGCAAAGCUGACGCUCAGGUGCGAAAGCGUGGGGAGCGAAACAGGAUUAGAUACC
rnacentral:rRNA from 1 species